GAUCAUGGCUCAGAACGAACGCUGGCGGCAGGCCUAACACAUGCAAGUCGAGCGGAGGGUUUCGGCCCUCAGCGGCGGACGGGUGAGUAACACGUAGGUUACGUGCCCUUUGGUGGGGAAUAACUUAGGGAAACCUGAGCUAAUACCGCAUAUGCCCUUCGGGGUGAAAGUCUUCGGACGCCAGAGGAUCGGCCUGCGGCCCAUUAUUUAAUCCUUGUUGGUGGGGUAACGGCCUACCAAGGGUACGAUGGGUAGCUGGUCUGAGAGGAUGAUCAGCCACACUGGGACUGAGACACGGCCCAGACUCCUACGGGAGGCAGCAGUGGGGAAUAUUGGACAAUGGGGGAAACCCUGAUCCAGCUACGCCGCGUGGGUGAUGAAGGCCUUCGGGUUGUAAAGCCCUGUCGAGGGGGACGAAGUUCUGACGGUACCCCUCAAGAAAGCACCGGCUAACUCCGUG
rnacentral:rRNA from 1 species